CUGCAGUCAGUUAAGUGGACUGGGUUCCUUUGCUAAUGGCUGCCCAGACUGUGAUGACUGCCAAUAGCAAUCUCUUGGUUAGUGUAUGCAACCUGUGCUGGUGUGGCCUGCCGUGAGGGACCUCGAAGACACUG
ensembl:snoRNA SNORA70 Small nucleolar RNA SNORA70